UACGUAGGGGGCAAGCGUUGUCCGGAAUGACUGGGCGUAAAGGGCGUGUAGGCGGCCUGGUACGUCCUGGGUGAAAUCUGUGGGCUUAACCCAGAGGGUGCCCGGGAAACGGUCAGGCUUGAGGGCAGUAGAGGCGAGUGGAAUUCCCGGUGUAGCGGUGAAAUGCGUAGAGAUCGGGAGGAACACCAGUGGCGAAGGCGACUCGCUGGGCUGUACCUGACGCUGAGGCGCGAAAGCUAGGGGAGCAAACGGG
rnacentral:rRNA from 1 species